rnacentral:lncRNA from 1 species
AUGUCAAAUAUCCUCUUCUCCUUUUUAUAUUGUGGUUUUAGCAACUUUUUCCAUACUACUCUUCUGGGGGAACAUCUCCAUUCAUUCCACCUGCUUAGUUAGCAAAUAGGUAGAUCUAUGACUUGAUCUAUCGGCCAAUUUUGUAGUCACUUGAUGAGGAUUCUUUUUUUACUCAAGCUUUUCGUAGUAUUGGAAAGAAAAAUUUUCAGAUACAGAGCUGAUGUUAUUUGAAUUUGCGAUGACUCGAUGCUCACUUAUCUACAUCAGUAAAUAGCUUUCAAAAGCAAGUGGAUUAAGAGUUGCAUCUCUUUUGUCCCAGUUUACCCUAUAUCUUCUGAUUUUUUGCUAAUAAUCCAAAAAUCAACCUUUGGUAUCUCUCCCCAACCCUUUCUUAGAGCCAAUGCCCUUGGCAAAUUUAUUUGAUAGCUGAAGCACUAUUUGAUCAACUUGUAACAGUAAUUUCUCUGAUUUUUUUCUUAAAUUCCGAAUUUAGUGCUUCAAGUGAGAGGAUUAUGUUUGUAACACCCCGUUUUUUUUUUCUUAACGGUGUACGAUAAAGCACCCAUACAACACAAUACCGAAAUCCAUAUUAUUCCAACCAUGCACAAGAGAAAUUUAUCCACCUUCCAUGUUCCAAAUCAAUUGUACAUACAUCUCCACCUCUACAACACAUAGUAAUACAAUACCAAACAUUCCUAGAUAUUCAAUAUCCAGACUAAACCAUCCUUUCAAACUACUUUAAAUCACAAACAAAACUUGUGCCCUAUGGCACUACCGACGGGGCUCCGUUACCAGCCGCUCGGAUCCCAAUUCCGUCCUUACUCCACCUGUGAAUGAUGAGAAGUGAGUUCACAUAACUCAAUACGAUAAAAAUCAAGUUGUAAGUGUAAUAUGCAGUGACAAGAAUUUCCAGAAAUGUCUAUAUGCAUUUAUCCUACCCAACCCCAAACAACUCAUAACCCUCUCCCUACACUAAUUAUCAAGGUCCCAUUCCAAGGCAAUAGCACGGCCAAACAACCCCACCCACCCAACAAUCAUCCACUAACUCUCGUCACCAACAUCGGCGACUCAUACACUCUUCCCCCAUCUCCCGACCUCACGAGGCCACACACACACACACCCAACCACCUUCAUUCCACGUCACCAAUAUCGGCGACUCACACCUAUAUCUCCACCUCUCGACCUAAUAGGCCACGCACACACCCACACACCAUUAUUCCGCGUCACCAACAUCGGCGACUCACACUCACUCCUCCACCUCUCGACCUAAAGAGGCCACACACACACACAAAUACCAUCGUCUCGCGUCACCAACAUCGGCGACUCAUACUCACUCCACCUCUCGACCUAAAGAGGCCACACACACACACAAAUACCAUCCUCUCGCGUCACCAACAUCGGCGACUCAUACUCACUCCUCCAUCUCUCGACCUCGUUGGGCCACGCACACACACAAACAUUUCCACCUCCCGUCACCACCAUCCGUGACUCAUGCACCCUUCUACCCCUCUCGGCCUUGCUAGGCCACACUCACAUACAUAUCCCCUCCCUGCUCCACCAACAUCGGCAACUCAACCCGCCCCUACCAACGGCCUCCAAAUCUCCCCUCCCAAACCGCAUGCUCCCAUCUCCCCUUAUACCAUGCUAGUCCCAAACAUUCUAACUUGCUAACUCCUACUGACCACAUUACUCCUCUUCUCCCAUCCAAUCCCCCUCAAAUCCUGCUUCCUAGUCCCCUCUGCCGUACCUUCCAGCUCCCUUCCCUCUCCCACUGCCCCCUACCCGCUACCUCCCCCAUCCUCCUGCCUCCUCCCGGUUCCUAUACACUUUUGCCUACCUAGGGCGAUUAACCUCUCAGCUUGCACCGUUUCACGCCACAUACACGCCCUCACCACCGUGCAUUUCGGGGAAACACAUCACCGCCUAUUAGCGGCUCCCUCCACAUCCCCACCCACGCACACACCACACACACACCUCUUCUGUCCUCUUCGAGUUUUUAUCCCACCCGCGCCCCCUAGAUUGUUCUCUCACAUCCUCCUCACUCUGUUCUACCCGUACCACCCCCAUCCUUCCCCACGGCUCCCCACACGCCUCCCACACCGCCAUACUUUCCCUUCCUUCCCCGAUCACCUCCGUGAGCGCACGGGACAACCCCACGCUUACGGCCUGCCUUCACUGCUCCACUCCGCCGCGCCAUUGCCGACGCCGCAACCUGCAACCAAAUUUCUCUACACACACACACCACACCAAACAACUCAAAUUUUCACCGUACCUCCCGUUUCCAUCUUCCUUCUUCCUGCCGGUCGCGUCGUCCGUCCACGGCCUCCUUCCCUCUCCCUUCUCGCUCCCCUCCGCCCCGACUCUCUCCUCUCUCCUUCUGGAACUUUCCUCUUCUUCUUCGUCUCCGCUGUCCUCCUUCCCUCCUUUUCUCUUUUUCUCUUUUUCCUUUUCUUUCUUUUUUUUUUUUUCUUUUCUCCUUUUUUCCUUCUCCCUUUCCCGACCUCCUUUUAUACUCUGCC